AAGAAGUAGUAUACCGCAACGUAUCCUCGACGGGCUUUGUUGCGGGUAAUUCUUUGAUGAAAGUACUAGGAGUGCAUAGUGGCCCGUAUAGCAGGCAUUAACAUUCCUGAU
rfam:Vibrio cholerae O1 biovar eltor str. N16961 chromosome I, complete sequence.